rnacentral:rRNA from 1 species
CGUCUAUAUACGUAUAGCAUAUCAAUAAGCGGAGGAAAAGAAACUAACUAGGAUUCCCUCAGUAACGGCGAGUGAAGCGGGAAGAGCUCAAAUUUGAAAUCUUCAAGGUUCUACCUUGACGAAUUGUAGUUUAAAGAAGUGUUUUCUGUUGGAGUUUUGGUAAAAGUUCUUUGGAAUAGGACAUCAUAGAGGGUGAGAAUCCCGUAUUUGACCAUUAUUUCCAACUUUGUGAUACACUUUCAAAGAGUCGGAUUGUUUGGGAAUGCAGUCCAAAAUGGGUGGUAAAUUUCAUCUAAAGCUAAAUACUGGCGAGAGACCGAUAGCGAACAAGUACCGUGAGGGAAAGAUGAAAAGAACUUUGAAAAGAGAGUUAAACAGUACGUGAAAUUGUCAAAAGGGAAGCGUUUGACACCAGUGUUGUUUUCUCGAAAAUCAAUUAAAAAUGGCAGGAUUUUGUGUUGUAUUGACUUUAUCAGCUUUCUGCACUUUUUUCUUGUCUUUUUUAAUGCACUUUUCGUUUAACAAGUCAACAUCAAUUUCUUUUGCUGUAAAAGGGUCAUUGGAAGGUGGCUUUCUUUUCGGAGAAAGUGUUUAUAGCCUUUGACUUCUGCAAUCGGAGAGAUUGAGGUCUGCAGCGUAGAUCCUUCGGGGUUAGAUGCAUUUGUGCUAAGUUAUAGCCUUUCAUAGACAACUUGUUGACUAUGAUCAGUCAUGUAGCUUACUCGCUUAUGUUAUUUUACCUACGCUUAGGAUGUUGAUCUGUAGUGCGUGCGC